rnacentral:lncRNA from 1 species
CCUUUGAAACCAAUGGAAAUCUCCACUGAUUUUUAUCCUAACUAGGAACGCUAGCUGUCUGCAACAAUCUUUACUAGCUGUGGGUUAAGAAUACUAGCCCUCUAUUCAACUAGCUACUUUACUCUCUUGAGCUUAUUCUAUCUAGUAAUACCAAGCCUCAAUAUAGAAAAUUGACAAGUAUGACAAAAGUUGUCUGGUUAGUUUCUCUAUUCGUACUUUGAAGCUCAAGGAAUCAAGACUUGGGGUCCCAAUUCUUUCCCAAUCAAACGGUGGAGUACAGCUCUAGCCAAUUGGUCGACCAAGCAUCAUAUUCCCUGCAAAGCUGCAACCUUGCCAGGGACGGUUGCCCUGCCAUGUCCUGCCCUGUUCUUAAAUUACUUGUAUAAAGGAAAAUAGACAAUAACUAAUAUCUCAAAAAUCAAAAUAAUAAGAGAUAUAAACAACAAUAAAGAUCAACUCGUAAGAUGCUUAAUAGUUAAAAAAAAAAAAAAAAACACACACACACACACAAAACAGAAACAAAAAGUAACAGAAGACGGUACCAAACUCCUUAAAAUUUAAAACAACCCCCCCCCUCCCCCCGUCAAAAGAACACUGACAGAGAUCUUUACAUGGGAAAAAUGAAACCUAAAACAAGGAAAACACGAAUAUAUAACAAGUGGGUAUUGAAAAAUAGAUCAAGGUCAAACACGCUGAAGCCAAAUCAUCAGCCUCUGAUAUGCUUGACUUUGUACCAGCCUUUCUUGCAUGAAUCUCCCACGAUCUUUACACCCUUCUUGAACAAAACCUUGAGCUCCUUGGCUCUCUCCUUUACUUGCUGCUGGAAUCCAGCCAUUGAAACGUAGGAGAAAAGAUGAUUGGGAAAGAAAAAGCUGCGGGGACUGCAGGUGUUUGAACAGCUGCGUGUGUUGGUGUAAAGUAAACCACUCUGGACCUGGGAACUACACCCUGGUCCGUUUUUAAGCUGAGGAGAUGAGCUAGGCCACGUGGGAUCCAACGCAUCUGGAAACACGUGGCGGACAUCUAGUGGGUUAUAGAUUUUACGAUCAUGGUAACGUCAUGAGUGAUCA